rnacentral:rRNA from 2 species
UACGUAGGGUGCGAGCGUUAAUCGGAAUUACUGGGCGUAAAGCGUGCGCAGGCGGUUCGCUAAGACCGAUGUGAAAUCCCCGGGCUUAACCUGGGAACUGCAUUGGUGACUGGCGAGCUAGAGUGUGGCAGAGGGGGGUAGAAUUCCACGUGUAGCAGUGAAAUGCGUAGAGAUGUGGAGGAAUACCGAUGGCGAAGGCAGCCCCCUGGGCUAACACUGACGCUCAUGCACGAAAGCGUGGGGAGCAAACAGG